GAUGAACGCUGGCGGCGUGCCUAAUACAUGCAAGUCGAGCGAACGGACGAGAAGCUUGCUUCUCUGAUGUUAGCGGCGGACGGGUGAGUAACACGUGGAUAACCUACCUAUAAGACUGGGAUAACUUCGGGAAAAAGUAGCUAAUACCGGAUAAUAUUUUGAACCGCAUGGUUCAAAAGUGAAAGAAGGCCUUGCUGUCACUUAUAGAUGGAUCCGCGCUGCAUUAGCUAGUUGGUAAGGUAACGGCUUACCAAGGCAACGAUGCAUAGCCGACCUGAGAGGGUGAUCGGCCACACUGGAACUGAGACACGGUCCAGACUCCUACGGGAGGCAGCAGUAGGGAAUCUUCCGCAAUGGGCGAAAGCCUGACGGUGCAACGCCGCGUGAGUGAUGAAGGUCUUCUGAUCGUAAAACUCUGUUAUUAGGGAAGAACAUAUGUGUAAGUAACUGUGCACAUCUUGACGGUACCUAAUCAGAAAGCCACGGCUAACUACGUG
rnacentral:rRNA from 1 species